AUCGCUUCUCCACCUCUUGGCUAAGAUCAAGUGUAGUAUCUUCUUAUCAGUUUAAUAUGUGAUAUGCCCUCUAUCCGAGGACAAUAUAUUAAGUGGGUUUUUGGAGCAGGGAGUGGGAAUAGGUGGCUCCGAUGGUAAAGCGUCUACCUCCA
rnacentral:snRNA from 1 species